UUAUUUUGGUGUAGUCCCAACAGUUUAAUUUUGCCAUUUGUUUCCCUUGCCAAAGAAGACAGAUCUAGAAAAAUGUUUUGAUAGCAGGUGUCAAAGAGAUUACUACCUAUGUUUCUUGUAGGAAUUUUAUGGUUAUAGGUCCUACAUUAGGCCUCUAAUCCAUUUUGAGUUUAUUUUUGUGUACCAUGUAAGAAAGGCGUCCAGUUUGAUUCUUUUCAGUCUAGCUGUUCAGUUUUUCCAACAUCACUUAUUGAAGAGACUGUCUUUCACCCAUUGUAUAUUCUUGCCUCCUUUGUCAUAGACCAAUUGACCAUAAAAUCAUGGGUUCAUUUCUGGGCUCUUUAUUCUGUUCCAUUGAUCUAUUUGUCUAUUUUGUCCCAGAACCAUACUGUUUGGAUUCCUACAGUUCUUCAGCAUGUAUUGAAAUCUGGGAUUGUGACACCUCCAACAUUGCUUUGGCUAUUCAG